AGUGAACGCUGGCGGUAGGCCUAACACAUGCAGGUCGAACGGCAGCACAGUAAGAGCUUGCUCUUACGGGUGGCGAGUGGCGGACGGGUGAGGAAUACAUCGGAAUCUACUUUUUCGUGGGGGAUAACGUAGGGAAACUUACGCUAAUACCGCAUACGACCUACGGGUGAAAGCAGGGGAUCUUCGGACCUUGCGCGAUUGAAUGAGCCGAUGUCGGAUUAGCUAGUUGGCGGGGUAAAGGCCCACCAAGGCGACGAUCCGUAGCUGGUCUGAGAGGAUGAUCAGCCACACUGGAACUGAGACACGGUCCAGACUCCUACGGGAGGCAGCAGUGGGGAAUAUUGGACAAUGGGCGCAAGCCUGAUCCAGCCAUACCGCGUGGGUGAAGAAGGCCGUCGGGUUGUAAAGCCCUUUUGUUGGGAAAGAAAAGCAGCAGGUUAAUACCCCGCUGUUCUGACGGUACCCAAAGAAUAAGCACCGGCUAACUUCGUGC
rnacentral:rRNA from 1 species